UGAGCACUUUUUUGCAGCAUAAAACACUUUUAGCCUUACUCUGUAACACAUACACAAGGCAGGCCAGCAUCUAUGCAUAAGACAUAAUACCAGCAACUUCACAAAUCCAAGACAAUCUCCAGUUAAAAGGAAGCCUACUUUUUCCAUGUUGAGUUUUAAAUCUGGGGCAGGAGGGACAUUCAAAGCUGUGACAUCACACCUGCAGGCUGAGGUUGGCUCCGACUGACUUAGUAGCUUGGCUCUUUGAAUACUGCUGCAACAGUCAUCAAGUUAGGACAGUGCAAAAGGCUAAGCACUAAGGAGCCCAACAGGAAUAAAAAGAAAUGAUUUUUUAAAGGGACAAUCUGCUAAGCUUCAGAAAAGCGGAAAAAGGCUGUAUGGGGGGAAAACCAUAAUAUAAAUGUUAGAUUUAUUGUUAUGUACACUUUUCUGCUUGGCCACAAUAUAUAGUCCUCUUAAAUAUAUAUUUGCUUCUUUUUUUAUCGGUUUGGUGUCCUUGGUGCAAUUCCUUCACGAGGCAUAACAUCCUUAAGUCCUUAGGUAUCCAUCAGAAACUUCAGAACAGACACUUUGCCAACAGGAGGAGCUGAAGCAGAGAUAGUGACAGCUCAGUAGGAGAUGCUUUCAGCUUGUCAAAUGGAGCCAUGGAGGAGGAAACCAAGUGAGUCUCUGCCGCUUUCAUGCACAGAUUGCAAGAAGGAAGAAAUAAAGAAGCCUGGAGAGCGUCUGAGGGUGGAAGGAUGCUCAAAAUAAAGCACAGGAGUGAAGAGCCUUAAUUAUGUCUUGCAGGGGCUGUCAUGAGUCGACAGCUGCAGCAGGGAAAGACAGGAGGAGGAUAAGUCGGUUUUAUGCUGUGGCUUUUUUUAUUUUAAAAAAGUGCAAAUUGCUCCUUGAACGGGGGAGGAUGGAUGACUUAUACUUGAGGUGCUAAGCAGCUUAGCAAACUCAAAUUAACAUGCCAAGAUGCUGAAAAUGAGGGAUCAAGUUAAUUCAGCUGAUUCUCUCUCACCUCAAUUACUGUAAGACAGUUCUCUCUGAUCUUUCAUUUGCCCAUCUCCAACCUCUUAUUCCUACUUUGCAUCCCAUGGCUCAUUGGUUAAUCUGCAUCUCAUUUCAGAAUGCUCACAUCCCUUCCAGCUUCUCUUCACUGGCUCCCUUCCUUUACCAUGUGAACAUAGGAAGCUACAUGAGCAAUGUUUUCCAUGUGGGGAGCAAUGUAUCCUUACCUAACUAGCACCAAAAAACAGGUCAGCUAUUAGAGAUCCGUGACCUGCACACCAGGUGUACUGAACUAGGUAGACCUGCCCUCUGAGAAACUCAAAAGAUCUCCUUCCCUGCUAUUUUUCCAGUGAAUAAUCCUGCUCUCUUUUCACCCCACAUCUGAAACCUUCAAUUCAUCCCCUAGUUCCUUUCAUCCCCUCCAGCUUCUAGUUAAUUGCACGGUUGCCACAAUUAACUUGACACACACCACUGCAGUUCUCAAAACAAUGGAUAAAGUACCAAGACUAACUCCGCCUCCCACCCAGAAAAUAAUGGGUAUUUAUAACUUUGUAGGACACUUAGCUCGUGCCCCUUGGAACAUAAGAUGCUGCCUUAUACUGCCAGGUCAAUGGUGCAUCUAGCUCAGGACUUGUCUACACUGACCAGCAGUGGAUCUCCAGAGUUGCAAAGCGGAUGCUCUGCUACUGAACUACAGCUCUUCCCCUUGACAACUCCGGUUCUGAGCCACAUUAUGCAGCACAGGAUAUCUAGUGUGCAUACAGUAGAGGGACUACAAAUCAGAUGCAAAUCUCUGCUCAGACAUAAAGGUUACUGAGUGACCUUGAGCCAGUUACCAUCUCUCAUCCUUGCCUACCUCACAGUGAUGUUGCAAGGAUAAAAGGGGACAGACCAUGGACUGCUGAAGGAGGAAGAAGAGAGGAUAUAAUUAAAUAAAACUAUGAAGAUUUUUGUAAAACUCGGAGCAUUUUAAAAGAAGAAAAGUAUAGUUGCUUGAAGGUUGCCAUAGUAUAAGCUUAAUUAGAAGCCGGUACUUCCUAAAUACAGGACACUGUGUUUCACUUUGUCUACUCCUAGAUUUGUUCACACUUGUUUGCUAUAUAUUUCAUUUGGAUGUCAUUUUUGUAUUUAAUACAAGGCAUGUCUUAAUUA